CUAUCAGGCGUCAGUAACAAGCCUCUCUCCUGAUGAUUAACUUCACUGGACUAUCAGGCGUCAGUAACAAGCCUCUCUCCUGAUGAUGAACUUCCCUGGACUAUCAGGAGUCAGUAACAAGCCUCUCUCCUGAUGAUGAACUUCCCUGGACUAUCAGGAGUCAGUAACAAGCCUCUCUCCUGAUGAUGAACUUCCCUGGACUAUCAGGAGUCAGUAACAAGCCUCUCUCCUGAUGAUGAACUUCCCUGGACUAUCAGGAGUCAGUAACAAGCCUCUCUCCUGAUGAUGAACUUCCCUGGACUAUCAGGAGUCAGUAACAAGCCUCUCUCCUGAUGAUGAACUUCCCUGGACUAUCAGGAGUCAGUAACAAGCCUCUCUCCUGAUGAUGAACUUCCCUGGACUAUCAGGAGUCAGUAACAAGCCUCUCUCCUGAUGAUGAACUUCCCUGGACUAUCAGGAGUCAGUAACAAGCCUCUCUCCUGAUGAUGAACUUCCCUGGACUAUCAGGAGUCAGUAACAAGCCUCUCUCCUGAUGAUGAACUUCCCUGGACUAUCAGGAGUCAGUAACAAGCCUCUCUCCUGAUGAUGAACUUCCCUGGACUAUCAGGAGUCAGUAACAAGCCUCUCUCCUGAUGAUGAACUUCCCUGGACUAUCAGGAGUCAGUAACAAGCCUCUCUCCUGAUGAUGAACUUCCCUGGACUAUCAGGCGUCAGUAACAAGCCUCUCUCCUGAUGAUUAACUUCACUGGACUAUCAGGUGUCAGUAACAAGCCUCUCUCCUGAUGAUGAACUUCCCUGGACUAUCAGGUGUCAGUAACAAGCCUCUCUCCUGAUGAUGAACUUCCUUGGACUAUCAGGAGUCAGUAACAAGCCUCUCUCCUGAUGAUGAACUUCCCUGGACUAUCAGGUGUCAGUAACAAGCCUCUCUCCUGAUGAUGAACUUCCUUGGACUAUCAGGAGUCAGUAACAAGCCUCUCUCCUGAUGAUGAACUUCCCUGGACUAUCAGGUGUCAGUA